CUCUCUUUCUCCUCCUCUUCGCGGGUUGUUGGUGGUCUGUCGUAUCUGAGAAGAAAACCCGCGUGUGUUGAAGCUUCAUGCACGGACUGAACAUCUGGACUGGAUUGAUCUCUAUAAAGUUUAAGGUAAUGUGAAUGUGUGACAUGCAUCCAGCGCUGGAACCUCAACUUUGGAGUAGUGUAAUUUUAUGAGCACUUAGUAAAAUGUGUUAACUUCCUUGACAUUUGUUCAUUUGUAGGAUAAUUUAUAGUUUAUAUCAAUUAAUGCACCACAUGUCUGAGCCUUAAAUCCCUAACAGGGUAGAGGUUUAUGGCACAACUUAAACUACUAAGGUGCAUAGUGAAGGAGGAUGAAGUCAAAGCUCCAGCAACAUUUGUAGUAUAGAACUUUUUUAGAUAAGCAUACAUCCAAUGUGUUUUUAUGGUGACCCUAAUUGAAGGCCACCAACUGGAGCUUUGACUUUUUGGAUUUAUAUCUAGUCAAGUAUUGUGAUGCAAGUUGUGAAAUUCAUUGUAUGUCUUAAGCAUAAUGAUCAAUAAAG